AUGAGGCGCCAUAGCCUCCCGUUCCUUUCACAGACCGCGCGAGGUCGACGAGAAAGCAGCAAACAAAGACUUGCAAAAAUGGCGGUGGCGACGGCUCGGUGGCUCGUCCUGUCCCUGCUCGUGUCCGCCGCGGCCGCGGCGCAUGACACGAAAUGGAAGGCCGGGGCUGCGGUGGGCGGCCAGGUCGUGGAGAAGGAGCGGCGGAGGGUGGUCGCUCAGAGCGAGGCCGGCACGGUUACGGCCGCGGACGUCGCCGACGCGGCGGGCACCGUGUACCGGCUGCAGUUCAUCACCAUGGACCCCGGCGCCCUGUUCCUGCCCGUGCAGCUGCACGCCGACGCAGUGUUCUACGUGCACAGCGGGCGGGGCAAGGUGACCUACAUCCAAGAAGGGGGCAGCGAAACAAGCUCCCUGGAAAUACAGCGAGGAGACGUGUACAACUUGGAGCAGGGCAGCAUCCUGUACAUCCAGAGCUACCCCAACGCCACCAGAGAGCGUCUCCGGAUCUACGCCAUCUUCACCAGCAACGCCAUCAACUGCGACGACCCAUCGCACCCCAAGUCAGAAGCAUACUCGAGCGUCAGCAAUCUACUGAGAGGAUUUGAAGUAAAGAUUCUUCGACAGGGAUUUGGGGUUUCCGCUGAAGUGGUGGAGGCAAUCCAAUCGGCCAAGAGCCCACAGUCGAUUAUAACGUACAAUCCAGACCAGGAGAAGGAAGAGAAGUCGAAUUGGACGGAAGAAAUCUUCAACGCGCUGUGGGGCGACGAGUCCCCACUGAACAAGAAGAAGAAGAAGGAUAAGCACAAGAAGAAGGACAAGAAGGACGACAAAUCCAAGAGCGAGACGUUUAACUUCUACUCCGGCAAGCCGGACGUCAAGAACUGCUUCGGAUGGAGCAAAACCAUGACCAACAAGGACCUGCAGAACCUCAAGGGGUCCAACAUUGGCAUGUUCAUGGUGAACCUGACCACGGGGUCGAUGAUGGGGCCUCACUGGAACCCGAAAGCCACGGAGAUCGCCAUCGUCACCCACGGAUCAGGGAUCGUGCAGGUGGUAUGCCCGAGCAUCCCGUCGGGCACCGGAGGCGGUCACGGCCACCACGACGAGGGUGGCCGCGGGGGCGGCGAUCACGGUCACCACGAUGAGGGCGGCCGCAGGAGAGGCGAUCACGGUCACCACGACGAGGGCGGCCGCGGGGGCGGCGAUCACGGUCACCACGACGAGGGCGGCCGCAGGGGCGGCGACCACGGGCAAGGAGGCGUAGAGUGCAAGAAUUCGGUGUUCAGAGUGAAGGAAGGCGACGUGUUCGUGGUGCCGAGGUUCCACCCGAUGGCGCAGCUGUCCUUCAACAACGGGUCGUUCGUGUUCGUCGGGUUCAGCACCCACAUGGGGGAGAACAACCCGCAGUUCCUGGCCGGGGAGCAUUCGGUGCUGCAGGUGAUCGGCAAGGAGAUAGUGGCGCUGGCUCUGGGGCAGAAGAACACGACCGCCGUGGAGAAGCUGCUGUCGGCGAAGAGCGGGUCGACCAUAAUGGCGUGCAUCUCGUGCGCGGAGGAGCUGGAGAGGAAGGCGGAGCAGGAGGAACAGGAGGGCGGGAAGGGGGAGCGGGAGCGGGAAGAGGAGGAGAGGGAAAGGAAGCAGAGAGAGGAGGAAGAGCGGAAGAAGCGAGAGGAGGAAGAGAGGGCGAGGAGGGAGAAGGAAAGGAAGCAGAGGGAGGAAGAGCAGAGGAAACGGGAGGAAGAAGAGAGGGAGAGGAGAGAGGAGAAGGAAAGGAAGCAGAGGGAGGAGGAAGAGAGGGCGAGGAGAGAGAAGGAAAGGAAGGAGAGGGAGGAGGAAGAAGCAGCGAGGAGGGAGCAAGAAGAGGAAGAAGAAAGGAGGAGAAGGGAGGAGGAAGAAGGUGGCGGAGGCCAAGGCGGAGGAGGAGGUGAUGAUCCAAGGGAGGAGGAAGAACGGCGGAGGAGGGAGGAGGAAGAAGGCGGCGGAGGAGGUGACGAUCCGAGGGAGGAAGAGGAAAGGCGGAGGAGGGAGGAGGAAGAGGGCGGCGGAGGCCAAGGAGGACGAGGAGACGAUCCGAGGGAGGAAGAGGAACGUAGGCGGAGGAGAGAGGAGGAGGAAGGCGGCCGUGGCGGAGACGACCCGUGGGAAGAGGAGGAAGGCGACUGGGGAGACACCACCAAGUACCGCGCGGCCAAGAACCUGAAGAAGCGCUACCGUGGUCGCAAGGGCGCCGUGUUCCAGAGCGCCUGA
rnacentral:rRNA from 1 species